GACGAACGCUGGCGGCGCGCCUAACACAUGCAAGUCGAACGGAGUUACUUUUUUUGAAGUUUUCGGAUGGAAAGAAAUUUAACUUAGUGGCGAACGGGUGAGUAACGCGUGAGUAAUCUGCCUUAAAGAGGGGGACAACAGUUGGAAACGACUGCUAAUACCGCAUAAGACCACAGUAUGGCAUCAUACAGUGAUCAAAGGAGCAAUCCGCUUUAAGAUGAGCUCGCGUCUGAUUAGCUAGUUGGUGAGGUAAUGGCUCACCAAGGCGACGAUCAGUAGCCGGACUGAGAGGUUGAUCGGCCACAUUGGGACUGAGACACGGCCCAGACUCCUACGGGAGGCAGCAGUGGGGAAUAUUGCACAAUGGAGGAAACUCUGAUGCAGCGACGCCGCGUGAGGGAAGAAGGUAUUCGUAUUGUAAACCUCUGUCUUCGGGGACGAUAAUGACGGUACCCGAGGAGGAAGCCACGGCUAACUACGUGCCAGCCGCCGCCGUAACAC
rnacentral:rRNA from 1 species